rnacentral:lncRNA from 1 species
GUUGAAUGGAAGCAGGAGAGGAGUGGGACAGGUGAGCACCAGGCGCUCCUACCUGAGCCAGCCUUUGCUAUCGGAGCAGCACACCGUGCCAGAAUGGCCCCAAAGUGCCCCAAAAUGCUGUGAAAUGCCAAGGGAGCUCUCAGCACCUGGCCUGCUUCGGGGGAAGGAGGGGAAGAACAACAGUAAGUAAGCGUCAUUUUCAUAAAAUACAUUCGUUUGGGGGGGGGAUGGAAUUUGGAUGCAUCUCAUGCUUUGCUGCAGACACCCUCAAUAAGUCGUCAGCCGAGCGCUUUGCUAAGAGGAAUUUGCCACGGGGUGGGGGGGAAUGAACAUGUGGAAAGCAAAGGUCCCCACUCCUGGGAGCAGAACAGAGCGGGGAUGCGGUGCCCAUAGAGCAGAGCAGGGCACGGGGGGCAGCCCCAAGGCGGAGGGGAGCUGCUGCCAUAUUGCAUACAUUUCAUAUGCUGCUGAAGAUUUUUAACACAGGUUUUCCUUGUUCUCAAUUUCUGACACAAGCGAGUCAUUUAUUCAGCACGGAUAAUAAAAUAAAGAAACAUCUACCGUGU